GUGGUGGUGCAGGAGCGGCGUGGAGGUGGCGGCGUGGCGCGGCAGUGUGCGUGGUGCCAGUGUGGGUGCCGGGAGAGGCGGGCAGCGCUGCGUCACUCUCCUCCUCGCACGGUACACCCUGUCGCUGUGGGGUCCUUGCAGCGUUCACCUCUCUGCGCCACACCCACACAAGGCCUGGCAGACCAUCACCUGCGAGGGCCUCGCCAGCCUUCACGCAUUUUACUACCACCAAGAUAAGUCAAAAGAGUUUCCAAUGCACCCCAACGCACCGCUCUCAAGUUUCCGAUGAGGAGCUAUUUUCAUGAUAUUUAAGCCUCUGAUUGUAAAAGUGAAGGCUGAAUCUUAUGUAAAAAUAGAAAAUCAUGGACUUCAACUUACGUAAUUGUGCAUAAUGGGAGGCAAUACUUAAUGAAAAAAAAUUCCAGAAAGCUUUUAACCACGAUCAGAUCAUAUUUUCCAAGUCACAUCAAUAGCUGAUGAUGAAAAGCAAUGGGAAAAAUAAAUAGAAAGAGGAAGACAGAAGACUCACCAACACAAGAGAUGAUGAUGAGAGACAGAAAGAAAAGAAAAGGAGGACAAGAAUAGAA